rnacentral:rRNA from 1 species
UGCAGCGACGCCGCGUGCGGGAUGACGGCCUUCGGGUUGUAAACCGCUUUCAGCAGGGAAGAAGCGCAAGUGACGGUACCUGCAGAAGAAGCGCCGGCUAACUACGUGCCAGCAGCCGCGGUAAUACGUAGGGCGCAAGCGUUGUCCGGAAUUAUUGGGCGUAAAGAGCUCGUAGGCGGUUUGUCGCGUCUGCUGUGAAAACCUCAGGCUCAACCUGGGGCUUGCAGUGGGUACGGGCAGACUAGAGUGCGGUAGGGGUGACUGGAAUUCCUGGUGUAGCGGUGGAAUGCGCAGAUAUCAGGAGGAACACCGAUGGCGAAGGCAGGUCACUGGGCCGCAACUGACGCUGAGGAGCGAAAGCAUGGGGAGCGAACAGGAUUAGAUACCCUGGUAGUCCAUGCCGUAAACGUUGGGCACUAGGUGUGGGGUCCAUUCCACGGAUUCCGUGCCGCAGCAAACGCAUUAAGUGCCCCGCCUGGGGAGUACGGCCGCAAGGCUAAAACUCAAAGAAAUUGACGGGGGCCCGCACAAGCGGCGGAGCAUGCGGAUUAAUUCGAUGCAACGCGAAGAACCUUACCAAGGCUUGACAUACACCGGAAAAAGUGCAGAGAUGUGCUCCCCGCA